AUAAAAAAAUAAAUACUGUAUUUGGUACUAGGGUUGCCAAAAUUCAGUUAUUCAUGUAGAAUGGCGUAGUAAAACGGUUUUGCACUGCGUACUCAUCUAUAUAUAACCGGAUUUUGACAAACCUAUUUGGUACACUUAAAUAUGACUUGCUAAUGUUUUUAAGAUAUUGAUAGUCGUGUAUGAAAUGUAAAUAUUGAUAUUCAUGAACGAAAUACCCAGUAAGCACAAGACGUUAGGAGAUAUGGAAUUUUUUCUGGACAAAAACAUAACUUUUGGAUCAACGCUUUUUUACUUUACAAAAAAAAAUAGUUGGUCAUAUAAAAAAUAUUCUUGUCACAAUUGAUUUUUUAUUUUCAGUCUUUUUUUCAAUACUUUUUUUUUUUCAGAAUCUGCAGGUUGUUUAUCGAGAAAAAGGCUUUUGGGGUAAUUUGGCAACGUUUUCACGGAACUAGUUGGUUCAUAGUACCUAAUUAUAAUUAUAAUUAUAAUUAAGCACUAUAUGUAUAGUGUUUAAUUAAGCAGAACAAAAGUUAUGGAUAAUCCAGAUAAUGGAUAUUCAAAAUAGGGUGGAGUUGUAAAGCGUGUUUUAAAUGUAAUUCGAAAGCGACAUGAGCGUCGUAUAAAAAGUUCAAUUGAGGUAAAAAAAUGCAAACAGAAUGCUUAAUAUCUCUGGAAUAAAUGAUAGCUCAUUUGAUGAAGAUAUACAGUUUUCUUUGGUACAAAGAGUUUCUGAUAGUGAACACAUUUGCUGUUUAGUAAGGAACAUGCACUGUUCUCUUCCAUAUUCAGAACACAAAGAGCACCUGUUCCAUCCAGAAAUUAUCAUGGACAAAUUUGAAAGAAUGAACAGAAUUACCAAAGAAGAAGCAUUAGAUAGGCUAUCGCAAGUAAUAUCCCGGUAUAGAUAUUCCAUCUGCCUUAAUAUAAUUUCAUAAGAGCAUUACCAGAAGAGAGGUGUUGACUCCUAUUGCUAUUGCCAGUAGUGAAAAAUCAUCGAUUCACUACACGUGCUUCAACUUAUCGCUUAUUAUUAUAAUAUGGACAUAUCGAACCCGAGAUCGUUAGGAGGAGUUUUAGGGCUGUUGCAGCAUUAUGUUUUACAACUACCGUUUGUUUGUACAAACAGGCUUUAGCUAAAAAAAGUCUUGUGAAAAGUUGUGCUGUUGUUUCUUCGUAUUUUGAAUCUGUUAAACUCUUAGCUUAGAAUAAAAACAUCGAGACAGUUUAAAAUUAAAUCUUUAUAUUUGAUUAAGCUUUUUAAACAAAUAAAAUAUAAUUUUUAUUA